ACUGAGCUAAAUCCCCAGCCCCUAGACACCCCUUUUAAAUACAGGUGCUUCCGUCUACAACCUAACUUUACCUUCAUUGUUUGCCCUUAAAGGUGUGUACUAAGGUCAUGUCUGUAUUUCAGCCAGUGAUUUAAGUGUAUACUAAGGUCCAAGCCACACCACAACUAGAAACAGAUUGGGUUUUGUCUUGUUUUUUCAGUAAAUAACACAAUCUCAGGUUCACAGGGUCAUCGAAUAUCUUACAACACAGAGGUGUGGUUACAAUGUCACCAGCAUUGUCAUACGAACAUCUCCUACAUCACUGCUGUGUAAAGAAUGCGUGCUCCCCCAUUAUCUCUGGUUGGAUACUAAAGAGCUAUGACUGGGCAGGGGAGAUAGGAAAUUUCAAUUCCAGCCAGGGGUCCCAGGGAGAGGGAAGGAGGAGGAGCAUGAGAAAAGGUUAGAGAGACCACAUGGACAGACGAAGAUGUGGCCAUGAGGCAAAAAGUCCAGAAGUCAUGGUGAGCAGGUCACUAAGGGAUUUGCCAUGAGCAGAGCAAGCCAGGGAGAGAUUCGGAUUGAAGAUGAAGGACCACGUUUCUGAGAGGUAGCCUAGAGGGUUGGACUAGAUGACUAUGCCCAGCCUAGGCUUCCAGCUUUCUAAUAAACUUAAUAGGUCUUUAUGUCUCUGACUUGGGAGGUAGAAUGGGAGCAGAUGGGGAUUGUUUAAAUCACAGACUACACUCCUUCAGCCGUAUUUUGACCAUCAUCGCCUCAGAAUCCAGGGAGAUAGUCCAAAGAAACUGAGGUGUGGAUGAACUCUGCUGCAGAUGCAAACGGCCUUAGUAGCAGAAGGCUGACAGACUCAUGGAAAAUAAAGAAAAUGUAUUGCUACACAAGGAGCUAUAAAGGAAGGGUAAAGACAGCCUUAAAGGGGCGGGGGUGGCAUUGUCAAGGCCAGAAAAGGAAAAGCAAAGACUAUGAGGAAACUGAGGCAGAGAGACCAGACUGGUGAAGCAAAAGUGACCAGGAAUAAAGAUGGUUCUAAGGCAGCUUCCUUUUGUCUAAAUAAAAGAAUCUACCAGUAUGAACUUUGGUUUGUUUGUCUGCUCUGGCUGUCCUGCAACUCAUUAUGUAUAUGAGGCUGGCCUUUGGCUGCCAGAGAUCUGCUCGCCCCUGCCUCGGGAGUGCUGGAAUUAAAGGCAUGCACCACCACACCCAGAUUUCAAGCUAACUUUUUUUUUUUAAGGUUUACUUUUUUUUUUUUAAUUUUAUGUGUUAUGAGCAUUUUGCUUACACUUGUGUAUCCUGUGCAUGUCUAGUGACCUUGGAGACAAGAAGUGGGUGCCCUGGGACAGAAUUAGACAGCUGAUACAACUGAGAAAGCUACAUCUGAGAAGUUGCAGCUACUUUGUUGACAUUCUGAGUGUCUUUAAACACCAUGUCAUUACAAUGAAACAGGCCUUUGAAAAGAAGGUAUGUGACCAAAGGGCUUCCCUGCCUUGUUAAUUACUUAGGGCCCAGAGAAGGGUUUUAGGUCUCCAUGGGCUAAGGAGUAACAUCCACUCCAUUCCACUGUAUCAUUUCUCUUAGCUUCUGUUCCUCUUUAGCUUUCCACUCUGCUUCCUUCCCAUCUUCCCCUUACUUUCACCUGUCUCAUACUCCUCCCACGUUUCCUGGUUCUGGGUGAUUUCCCCAACCUUAGAGGUUGGCUGGAAAUCAGUAUUAAAGAUUUGUACCUGUCUCUCUAGCUCCCUCUUGUGGUCAGUAAUUGACACUGUAGUCAUGUUGUUUCCUAGGGAGACCUGACAUAUGACACACCAAAGAAAUGAUUCCAUCCAAGUAGUUCAGUGGACUGCUGGGCUUAUUGGUUUAUUCAUAGGAGCAUGGUUGACUCAAAGACAGGUACAUCACUGAAAACAGUAUCACCAAAAUGGUUACAACCCCGGAGCCCCCUACACUUGCUGAGAGCUGGUUUGCAGUUUGCUGGGUUUAGAGUCUCCAGUCCCCAGAAGUUAAUUACUGCUUAUCUAUCUUUGGGAAGGUGGGACUUGUGAAUCUUGUAGGCUUCAGGAACUUGCUGAGAUCUCCAAGUUUCACUUACUUCCUGACUCCUUGGGCAGUUAAGAGGAUACUGAUAAAAGAAUGUUAGCAAAGUCCAAAUCAGCACAAAGCCCUCAGCACUUUUAUCCAUCUUGGUCAAAAAGACAAUGUUGGGUCCAGCAGCAUGUAGGAGUCACUUUCCCACCUGAGCCAUCCAACCUUCCCAUCCUGGGGUACUGAUGUAGGGCCUCCGUGAGUCUCAGCAGUAAGGGGAUUCCACUGUUUGGCCUGCCUCUGACAGAUGCACCCUAGUCUGCCCUUAGUGCUGUUUGGACCAGCUCCCCUGCUAACAAUCUGGUCCAGGACUGUGCUUUUGGGUUUUCCACUGGUCAAACCCAGUGUGAUUAUUUGAAUGAGAAAUGCCCACCAGUCUCUGGCACUUAGAUACUUGGUACCCAUUGGUUGCAGUUUUGGGAGAUCUAGGUGAUACAGAAAUGCUGCAGGAAGUUAUCACUGGGGUUGGACUUUGAGGUGAAAAGCGUUAUACCACUUCCGGGUUGCUGACUCACGUUAGUGGUUACAAUGUGAGCUCACAGCUUCCUGAUCCUGCCGCCAUGAUGUCCUCUAGAACUGUAAGUCUUAGUCCUAAGCAACUGAAAGUCUAAAGCAUCCGACAGGGGUCUGGGCUGAACAAAUGGUCUUCACUCUCAUGCACAUCUUCCUUGCAGGGAGAAAUGUACAGCUUAUACAGUGAAGGGGUACCUGCCCACCCCAGGACAAGCUCAAUCUUUUCCGGUGGUAGUUCUAUUAGCUUCUUUCUGUGGACGGUUAUUCAGGAUGAGUAGCUCAUUAUUUCUAAUGUUCCCCUAGAAACUGGCUGGACACAAAUCUCACCACUGCCUGCUAUCAUCCUGACUUGGGCUGACCCAAGUCCUAAGCUCCAUACCAGGCCUCCAGCCCCCUACUGAGUUAACUCCAGCUCUCCAGGGAACACAAGUUUACCUGGCCCUGGAACUAGGUACCAAGUGCCACCUUUGUCACUAGUUUCUCCAGAGUGCACGUCAAGGGAUAGAAACAGUGUGCACUUUUCCCAUCAGAUGACAAGCAAAGACCCAGAGGAUAAUUAAUAUAGACAUUCUCAAAUACAAAGAAAAUACAAUCAACUCAGACUACUUUAUAUUUUCAUAACAUUUUAACAUUUAAUAGAAACUAUAUACAAUAACUUCACUAUAUCUUACAUGAAGGAGCCACCACAGAAAUUUACAUAAAUUAAAAGCAAGAAUAAUUAAGGAGAACCCAGACCUGUGAACUGCUUUUCUCAGUCGGUUCACUAGGAAAGGGGGUUUAUAUUGCCCAAUGAUGUGGAGCAGAGGAAAGGCUUAAAUACAGCUUUAGAUACGGCUACAGAGACUAAGAGCCAACACCUGAAGAGCACCGUUCUUCACCACAGCCAACCCCGCCUAGACAUCCACGUGGAUCUCAGCCCAUGGCUCAGAAGUCCCAGUAUAAAUGUCUCCAAUAGGCACUGCAUCUCAAAGGCAGGGAGCACCUCACGCUCUUCCUCG
rnacentral:sRNA from 1 species